rnacentral:rRNA from 1 species
AUUGAACGCUGGCGGAAUGCUUUACACAUGCAAGUCGAACGGCAGCACGGGGGCAACCCUGGUGGCGAGUGGCGAACGGGUGAGUAAUACAUCGGAACGUGCCCAGUCGUGGGGGAUAACGUAGCGAAAGUUACGCUAAUACCGCAUACGAUCUACGGAUGAAAGCGGGGGACCGUAAGGCCUCGCGCGAUUGGAGCGGCCGAUGUCAGAGUAGGUAGUUGGUGAGGUAAAGGCUCACCAAGCCGACGAUCUGUAGCUGGUCUGAGAGGACGACCAGCCAAACUGGGACUGAGACACGGCCCAGAGUACUACGGGAGGCAGCAGUGGGGAAUUUUGGACAAUGGGCGCAAGCCUGAUCCAGCCAUUCCGCGUGCAGGACGAAGGCCUUCGGGUUGUAAACUGCUUUUGUACGGAACGAAAAGGCUCUGGUUAAUACCUGGGGCUCAUGACGGUACCGUAAGAAUAAGCACCGGCUAACUACGUGCCAGCCGCCGCAGUAA